GCCUAAUGGGUAAGACAUCGAUCCUAAGCAGGAGUCCACGACGGGAGGUGGAACAAUAUGGGCAGUCAACAAAGCUGCCAGCCGCCGCGGUAAUACAACCAGCACGAGUGGUGAACAAUUUUAUUAUUCGUAAUAAGUCCGUUAAGAGUAAACAAAAGUAAGUGAAGAAAUCCCUUCUUAAAAGGAGUGAGUUUGGGGGGGAAAGUCCAGGUUUUGGGACCGGAGGAUGAGGGGUGUUUGUGGGGGGUGGGAGAAAUAUCUUGAUUUCCGGGGGGGCCCCUGUGGGGAAAAAGCUUCACGAGAACGGGUCCGACAGUGAAGGGGAAAAACCAUGGGAACGAACCGGAUUAGAUACCCGGGUAGUCCUUGCCGUUAACCCCGCUUCCUACUAGUGGGUGCCGCUUCCUACGGCAGGCAUCACCCGGGACCGCAUGCAUGCAUCUA
rnacentral:rRNA from 2 species